GAGUGAUCGAAAGAUGAAAAGCACUUUGGAAAGAGAGUCAAACAGCACGUGAAAUUGUUGAAAGGGAAGCGCUUGCAGCCAGACUUGCUUACAGUUGCUCAUCCGGGUUUCUACCCGGUGCACUCUUCUGUAGGCAGGCCAGCAUCAGUUUGGGCGGUAGGAUAAAGGUCUCUGUCACGUACCUCCUUUCGGGGAGGCCUUAUAGGGGAGACGACAUACUACCAGCCUGGACUGAGGUCCGCGCAUCUGCUAGGAUGCUGGCGUAAUGGCUGUAAGCGGCCC
rnacentral:rRNA from 1 species